rnacentral:rRNA from 1 species
UACGUAGGGUGCGAGCGUUUAAUCGGAAUUACUGGGCGUAAAGCGUGCGCAGGCGGUUUUGUAAGUCAGAUGUGAAAUCCCCGGGCUCAACCUGGGAACUGCGUUUGAAACUACAAGGCUAGAGUGUAGCAGAGGGGGGUAGAAUUCCACGUGUAGCAGUGAAAUGCGUAGAGAUGUGGAGGAAUACCAAUGGCGAAGGCAGCCCCCCUGGGAUAACACUGACGCUCAUGCACGAAAGCGUGGGGAGCAAACAGG